ACCAAUCUUUUCUCAACAGUUAUUAGCAAAUAGAUAAAACGCUGCUGCUAAAGAAGUUUCCAACAAAAUGGGUAUGUUUUAUUUAAGUAACCUUCUGUUAGUAAGUAGCAAAACCAAAUCUAGAACUCCAGGAUCUCUGACUCGAGUCUGUGCUAUUAACUAUCAUUUUAGUUUAGCGGUUAUUUCUCUUGCUAUUCCUUUAUGCUGAAAAAAAUUCAACAGACAAGAAUUCUUUGUACUUCCUUUCCCAAUUACCUUAAUGGAUAACAACUUUUAAAAACAGAGUCAGAGAUCACUGAAGUGAUGUCAGAAUCAUGAUCAGAGUCCUUCUUUUCUCUAUCCUUUUGAACAACUAAGCAGACCACAAGAGAACAGAAGUGCCUCCGCACAUUACACCAAAGGACACACCAGCCCGCCUGUGCAGAGAUGACAGGUUUUUAGUAGGCUGUGCCUCCAAGGGGUAUGGUGAACCUACCCUGCCCACCACCACUUGCCAUGGAUUGGGGGUAAAAGAGCCUGGAGGGUGAAAAACCAGGUGGAUGGUGGGUAUCCACCAGCAAGAGAGAGCUUGUGGAAGUCUAGCCUGCCUCGGGAGAUUCCAGCCUGCCAUCAGAGCAGCAUAGACACAGAGAUAAGUUUGGAAGAGGGAAGAACUCACACGGGCGGCCCCUUUCCCAAGGAGGGCACAGCAAGGGGCUGGGCUUUUUUUGUGACAGCAGUGGUCGCCUCUAAGGCAGAGGAGGUGGAAAGUCAUGACCUCACUCAUGGAGGAGGUAGGUGGAGAGCAAAAGUGAUGAAUGAAUGCCCGGCUACCACAGUUGUGCAGGGUUUAGCUGGAGAAACCCAUGUCUCCAGCAGCACCAGAUUGCUGAAGACGGACCUCCAUGACUGGAGAGGGAAGAGAAAGGUAAGGAUAUGAAAGAGUUAAAGAAAUGCACUUCCUGUCUGUUUAAGGACUUCAGCAGGUCUACCCACAAACCUCUGAGAGUAUUCCACUCAAGGCUCCCUCCACCAGGCUGUGGGUACACUCAUUACUCCAAGUGCCAAACCCGCCUACACCCCAGUCUACUGCCAACUCCUUGUCCACAUUCCUGAAUCCAUCGCAGGACCCAGCUCCAGUACACACACAGGUGCCCAGAUACAGGUCAAGUUCAGUGAGCAAGAAAGAAAGUCACAAACUUGAGCUUUAGAGCCACAGUCUGAAAUACAAAAGAAAGGACUAAUAGCCAGCCUGUUGAACUCCAAAAACCAAAGAGAACAUAAAAGCUUGGUUAAGAAUGUAGGUGGUGCUCCAU
ensembl:lncRNA